AUGCUUUAGGAAUAAUUCUAUAAAUCGGUAUUGUUCUUUACUGGAUGCUUGCUGUUAAAUGUGUGAGCUGCAGAACCUUCAUAAGAAAUUUGUGCUUGGUAAUAUCUUGACAGAAUCUGAGUUCUGGGCUGCAAGGAAGAAGUUGCUUGAUGGAGACGUGGAACAAAGUCCAAACAACGGGUUGGUUUUAAAAGUUCAACGAUAUAUUUUAGACAUCAAACCCGUGAU